rnacentral:rRNA from 1 species
AUUCCCCUAGUAGCGGCGAGCGAAGCGGGAAGAGCUCAAAUUUAUAAUCUGGCACCUUCGGUGUCCGAGUUGUAAUCUCUAGAAGUGUUUUCCGCGUUGGACCGCACACAAGUCUGUUGGAAUACAGCGGCAUAGUGGUGAAACCCCCGUAUAUGGUGCGGACGCCCAGCGCUUUGUGAUACACUUUCAAUGAGUCGAGUUGUUUGGGAAUGCAGCUCAAAUUGGGUGGUAAAUUCCAUCUAAAGCUAAAUAUUGGCGAGAGACCGAUAGCGAACAAGUACCGUGAGGGAAAGAUGAAAAGCACUUUGGAAAGAGAGUUAACAGUACGUGAAAUUGUUGGAAGGGAAACGCUUGAAGUCAGACUUGCUUGCCGGAGCUUGCUUCGGUUUGCAGGCCAGCAUCAGUUUUCCGGGGUGGAUAAUGACGGUUUGAAGGUAGCAGUCUCGGCUGUGUUAUAGCUUUCCGUUGGAUACAUCCUGGGGGACUGAGGAACGCAGCGUGCUUUUUGCGAAAGACUCGUCUUUUUCACGCUUAGGAUGCUGGUGGAAUGGCUUUAAACGACCCGUCUUGAAACACGGACCAAGGAGUCUAACAUGCUCGCGAGUAUUUGGGUGUCAAACCCGGAUGCGCAAUGAAAGUGAAUGUAGGUGGGAACCGCAAGGUGCACCAUCGACCGAUCUGGAUUUUUUAAGAUGGAUUUGAGUAAGAGCGCGUAUGUUGGGACCCGAAAGAUGGUGAACUAUGCCUGAAUAGGGCGAAGCCAGAGGAAACUCUGGUGGAGGCUCGUAGCGGUUCUGACGUGCAAAUCGAUCGUCAAAUUUGGGUAUAGGGGCGAAAGACUAAUCGAACCAUCUAGUAGCUGGUUCCUGCCGAG